rnacentral:rRNA from 1 species
GAUGAACGCUGGCGGCGUGCCUAAUACAUGCAAGUCGAGCGAACGGACGAGAAGCUUGCUUCUCUGAUGUUAGCGGCGGACGGGUGAGUAACACGUGGAUAACCUACCUAUAAGACUGGGAUAACUUCGGGAAACCGGAGCUAAUACCGGAUAAUAUUUUGAACCGCAUUGUUCAAAAGUGAAAGACGGUCUUGCUGUCACUUAUAGAUGGAUCCGCGCUGCAUUAGCUAGUUGGUAAGGUAACGGCUUACCAAGGCAACGAUGCAUAGCCGACCUGAGAGGGUGAUCGGCCACACUGGAACUGAGACACGGUCCAGACUCCUACGGGAGGCAGCAGUAGGGAAUCUUCCGCAAUGGGCGAAAGCCUGACGGAGCAACGCCGCGUGAGUGAUGAAGGUCUUCGGAUCAUAAAACUCUGUUAUUAGGGAAGAACAUAUGUGUAAGUAACUGUGCACAUCUUGACGGUACCUACUCAGAAAGCCACGGCUAACUACGUG